GAUGAACGCUAGCUACAGGCUUAACACAUGCAAGUCGCGGGACCGGCGCACGGGUGAGUAACGCGUAUCCAACCUGCCCUUCCCCACGGGCUAACCCGGCGAAAGUCGGACUAAUACCGUAUGGUGAAGGAUGUGGGUGCGUCCGAUUAGCUUGACGGCGGGGUAACGGCCAACCGUGGCUACGAUCGGUAGGGGUUCUGAGAGGAAGGCCCCCCACACUGGAACUGAGACACGGUCCAGACCCCUAGGGGAGGCAGCAGUGAGGAAUAUUGGUCAAUGGGCGUAAGCCGGAAACAGCCAAGUAGCGUGCAGGACGACGGCCUAUGGGUUGUAAACUGCUUUUAUGCGGGGAUAGGUACCGCAUGAAUAAGGACCGGCUAAUUCCGUGCCAGCAGCCGCGGUAAUUC
rnacentral:rRNA from 1 species